rnacentral:rRNA from 1 species
GCAUGCCUUACACAUGCAAGUCGAACGGCAGCAUGGAGAGCUUGCUCUCUGAUGGCGAGUGGCGAACGGGUGAGUAAAGCAUCGGAACGUACCGUGUAGUGGGGGAUAACGUAGCGAAAGUUACGCUAAUACCGCAUACGCACUGAGGUGGAAAGCAGGGGAUCGCAAGACCUUGCGCUAUACGAGCGGCCGAUGUCAGAUUAGCUAGUUGGUAGGGUAAAGGCCUACCAAGGCGACGAUCUGUAGCGGGUCUGAGAGGAUGAUCCGCCACACUGGGACUGAGACACGGCCCAAACUCCUACGGGAGGCAGCAGUGGGGAAUUUUGGACAAUGGGGGAAACCCUGAUCCAGCCAUGCCGCGUGAGUGAAGAAGGCCUUCGGGUUGUAAAGCUCUUUCGGCUGGGAAGAAAUCGCACAGGCUAAUACCCUGUGUGGAUGACGGUACCAGCAUAAGAAGCACCGGCUAACUACGUGCCAGCAGCCGCGGUAAUACGUAGGGUGCGAGCGUUAAUCGGAAUUACUGGGCGUAAAGCGUGCGCAGGCGGUUAGGUAAGUUUGAUGUGAAAUCCCCGGGCUCAACCUGGGAACUGCAUUGAAGACUGCCUAACUAGAGUACGGCAGAGGGGGGUGGAAUUCCACGUGUAGCAGUGAAAUGCGUAGAGAUGUGGAGGAACACCGAUGGCGAAGGCAGCCCCCUGGGCCGAUACUGACGCUCAUGCACGAAAGCGUGGGGAGCAAACAGGAUUAGAUACCCUGGUAGUCCACGCCCUAAACGAUGUCAACUAGUUGUUGGUAGGGUUACACCUAUUAGUCACGUAGCUCACGCGUGAAGUUGACCGCCUGGGGAGUACGGUCGCAAGAUUAAAACUCAAAGGAAUUGACGGGGACCCGCACAAGCGGUGGAUGAUGUGGAUUAAUUCGAUGCAACGCGAAAAACCUUACCUACCCUUGACAUGUCAGGAAUCCCGAAGAGAUUUGGGAGUGCCGCAAGGAACCUGAACACAGGUGCUGCAUGGCUGUCGUCAGCUCGUGUCGUGAGAUGUUGGGUUAAGUCCCGCAACGAGCGCAACCCUUGUCAUUAGUUGCCAUCAUUUAGUUGGGCACUCUAAUGAGACUGCCGGUGACAAACCGGAGGAAGGUGGGGAUGACGUCAAGUCCUCAUGGCCCUUAUGGGUAGGGCUUCACACGUCAUACAAUGGUCGGUACAGAGGGUUGCCAAGCCGCGAGGUGGAGCCAAUCCCAGAAAGCCGAUCGUAGUCCGGAUCGUAGUCUGCAACUCGACUACGUGAAGUCGGAAUCGCUAGUAAUCGCGGAUCAGAAUGCCGCGGUGACAUACGUUCCCGGGUUCUUGUACACACCGCCCGUCACACCAUGGGAGUGGGUUUCACCAGAAGUAGCUAGCCUAACCGUAAGGAGGGCGGUUACCACGGUGACGAAUUCA